AGGGUGGUUUUAAGCAACCGUUUGUUUCCCCUUCUAUUCAAUGAGGACGAAAUUACUAAGUGGAAUCAGAAUGAAGAGUUUUCAGCUGACCUCCCUUUCCAGGCAAGAGGUUAUAUCCAGAGAAGCUGUAGCUUGAUGGGUUAUUGCUGGAAAGACACUCAAGAAAAUGUAAAUCUGCGGCUGUCUAUUGUUUAAGCUUUCUGGAAUAUAAGCACAGAAGCAAUUGUUACUCGGGAUUGUUGUGCUGGAAAUCUAAGCUCUGCAGCAGUUGUAGUGUUUAUUUUAGCUAAUGAAAGUUGACACAGUUUAUGGGGAAUUAUUUAGUAGGGAAUAAGAUCUGUACGGCUCCUCUGUACACCUACACUUGUCAGCUCUUCCUAGCAGGUCUCAUUUCAAAACCUAUUAAAUAUAAUCAGAGUUUUCUGUACUUAAGUGAUUAAGGAUGGAUGAAUCUGUUCCAGAAAGUACGUAUCUCAAAGCUUUUCCCAACCUAUGAACCAAGCCAAACCUAAAUAUUUUUUGCAGUGCGGUUAAGCCUCUUCCCCUUUCUCCCAGUGUGGCUUUAUAUUUCUUUUUCCCUUCUCACUGCAGCCCUCCAAUAGCCUUUUAACUAUCCUGGCUUCCCCACAAAUCUCUAAAAGAUCCAUGGAUAAUUUUAUUAAAGUGCCUACAAGCUGGUCUAAACACAGUUUCUGUACUGCUAACUACAUGGUUUAGAAACUGAUAUAGUUAAAGCUGUACAACCAUAUAAUGUGGAGGCAGUUAUGCUGGUAUAAAGGUGUUAUACCAAUGUAGCUUAUUAUGGAAAUUAAGACCAGCCAUAAAUGACUUUCAUUGCUUUUGAAAACUUUACCCCCUAGUUAUUUCACUCCAACCAAUAACCCUCCAAUAAGCCCUUGUUCUUUUCCUCAGCCUUUUUCCUUCCAACAUAUUAGUUGAAACAAUA